AAGAACUUUUUUAAGUAUUUUUUGUUUUUUAAUUAACCAAUAAAUAUUGUGGCGAACGCUCGAAUAUUCAUGCCUAUUAUGGUGGAGGGAGUUUUACUCACUUUUGACAGAUUUUGGUAUUAUCGAAAGCGCUCGAUAAUGAGUCAAAAUAGGUUAAUGCAGUUUACGAAUGAAAUAAAAAAGUGGCAUCAUUGAAAACGCUUCCGAUCCGUGAUUCGUACAAAUUUCUCUAUCUGUCAUUCACGCGCCAUUGUGCUGCGGAUACUAAAAACGAUAAGAUGGAUAGCAAUAAAAUGAAGCAUACAACGACCAGGGAGCAAUUUAAAUGUUUAGUUUCCAAAAUGAAGGAGCAUCCGGACAUAGUAAAAAAUUUUACUAAAAAUGCACCUGAUUUGGUAGAAAGAUUUUAGGAAAGUGUGCGAGAGGACCGCCAUCAAAAACCAUUGCCGAAUGGAAAAAGGUUUGGUCGGAUUAUAAAUCGGCGAUAAAGAAGAAGCUCGCGCAUAACAAAAGAGAGCUACAUGCGACUGGUGGAGGAGAAAAUAGGGAGAUUCCCUUAACAUCUAGGGAAGAAGAAGUUGCUACCCUUGUGUGUCUUAAUCAGGGUUCGGAUUUGCCUCAUUUUGGCCCCUCGCUCGCUCGUUAGUUUGCUCUGAGUUAGCGCAACUCACGAGGAACACGCGAGGCUGUUUGCAAAUGAGCACUCGUUAGGUACGAGCGCACGCGAUGAGUAGCCAGCGAGCGAGUCAGCAAACGAGGGCGGCGCAAGAGUAGAGCGUAAAGCAAACGAGGGCCUCAUUAGCUCUGCCCUCGCG